rnacentral:tRNA from 1 species
UGGGGAGUCGUCUAACGGCAGGACGGUGGACUCUGGCUCCACUAGUCGGGGUUCGAAUCCCUGCUCCCCAG